CAGAGUUGAAAAACUCCCUAAACCCUUUGUUUAUAUACCUGUUCAGUUGCUUCGGCAGGCGGCCCCAGGGCGGGGCCUCCAGCCUGCUCACGCAGGUGCCUGCCGCUGGCGCAAAAACUCUUUGCUAUAUUUUACUAUUCCGAGUCUUACAAAAAUGAAUCA
rnacentral:misc_RNA from 1 species